rnacentral:rRNA from 1 species
AUUGAACGCUGGCGGCAUGCCUUACACAUGCAAGUCGAACGGUAACGGGCCUUCGGGUGCCGACGAGUGGCGAACGGGUGAGUAAUGCAUCGGAACGUACCUUUCAGUGGGGGAUAACGUAGCGAAAGUUACGCUAAUACCGCAUAUUCUGUGAGCGGGAAAGCAGGGGAUCGGAAGACCUUGCGCUGAUUGAGUGGCCGAUGUCAGAUUAGCUAGUUGGUGAGGUAAAGGCUCACCAAGGCGACGAUCUGUAGCGGGUCUGAGAGGAUGAUCCGCCACACUGGGACUGAGACACGGCCCAGACUCCUACGGGAGGCAGCAGUGGGGAAUUUUGGACAAUGGGGGCAACCCUGAUCCAGCCAUGCCGCGUGAGUGAAGAAGGCCUUCGGGUUGUAAAGCUCUUUCGGCCGGGAAGAAAUCGCACAGACUAAUACCUUGUGUGGAUGACGGUACCGGAAUAAGAAGCACCGGCUAACUUCGUGCCAGCCGCCGCCGUAAAAC